ACGAAUGCGGCAACACCGUCCCACUACCCGCUUCCCAGUACAUAGCGGCGUAUUCGCACCCCGGGUACGGCUGCAAGGCGUUCCCCGACGGCCCGACCUACAACUGCAGAGUCACCUUCACGGCAACUUCCAAUAUUGGCUUUAGAUUCUCCGGGAAACCCUUUAUUGGCAGUGACCGGUCCUGCGACGGCUACAAUCUUACCGCUUCUUACGGCACUACGCAAGACGCUACCUUCUGCAUCCUCUAUCUUGAAGCUCUCGGGACCAACACGAUGACAUUAACGCUGCGGGGCACGGCUCUGGCUAAGACCUUCAAGGGAGGCUUCACCUUGCUACUGAAAACGUAAUAAAUGCUCGUCGUUUGCUCCCUACCAACGUCCGUGCCCGGCUUGACCUGGAAUAUCUGCUGCACUUUGAGUUCAUUUCACAUGAUGAUACUGAGACAUUGAUGAAGAACCCUCGUAUCUGGAGAGGAUGCCAGGGUCCUGUGCCCACAUCAUAUCUGGAGAGGAUGCCAGGGUCUUAUGCCCACAUCGUAUCUGGAGAGGAUGCCAGGGUCCUAUGCCCACAUCAUAUCUGGAGAGGAUGUCAAAGUCUUAUGCCCACAUUUGAAGUUAGCUUUUCGAACAAAUUGUGUUGCGGAGCUCAGAGGCCUUACGAUUAUAAACAUUUAAAAUUUUGUAACUCAUAAUCCGUCAGCCAAUCACUGACGGCUUAUCAAACCAAACCAACCAAUCACAGACAAGAAAUUGGUUGCUGUAUAUUGGGCCGACUUUCGAUGGUACGGUCACUGAAGGGCCCACACAAGCCCGGAAUGAUUCAUCAAACCCAAAUGUACUAUGAAAUCAAAAUUUUGAGCCCUCUAAAUAUAGGGUGAUGAAUGUGUUAGAAACAAUAUAAAUACCAUUUGAGAAAAUUGAAACCUUUCCAUUACAAAAAAAUUUGGUCCAAUGAUUCUCUAUGAUUGAACAUCAGCACACCAGUUUGAAAAUUUUAUUUGUGAAAUGCUACACACGAGUGUGUUACUUUUUCUGUGUGAAGUGGUGAUGCCACUGAUUAGAAUGAAGUUUUGCUAAUUGAACGUUUCGUUAUAUACUUUUCUACUUUUCUUUUCGUCUUGAUGUAGUGACUGCAACCGGAGCUAUGCUUAUCGAUAUAGGAGGUUGCGACGAAGAGUAUUUAUAUUGAUUUCAAUACAACCGGUUAUCUCGACAUCUAUUUUAAUCUCAUCAAUCGCCUGAUUGAACUUUUCUCUCGAUAGAGUUUUUAUGUAAGCUAAUUACUGUCAGGUUGGUAUUUUCUGUACAUUGUCCGAGUGUUAAUAGGUCGCGAUGGAAGGUUCUCUAUACUGGCAGCUACGACUUGACAAGGAGAAUGACACACACGUUUAUCUCCGACCUCAUAUACUAAAAACAAUACCCUACGCCUAGUUACAGAGCCAGGAAUGAUGACAAUAACGAGAGCACAGACUUACUUGCAGAAGAAAAAUCUCAUCCUACACCGAUCUGGGCCGGAGACAACAGAGUUAGACAACUACUACGGGCUCCGAAUAACUAAUUGAGACUAAUUCAGCGAGGCUAAAUUAAAGUGGCUACAAUGCACGCUUAUAAUUUAAUCUACACAGUGGUACAUCACCGGGCUUGUUUGAGACGAUCUAGUCCCUGCGUGGUCUGGCUGUUGUCGUGGGUUGCAGUACGUUCCCGGAGUCGGGGAUGCUCCGUGGAUUCUCCUCACGAUCGUGGCUUCGGCAGUCGUCGAAAACACGAGGGUGAAAUAAGUCGCUCGGUGCAGGAUGCUUGCCGAUGAACAAAACUAGGACAUGAGUAUCUUCGCAGGUCGAGUCGUUCUUCUCUGUAGUCCUUCGAUGUCGGCUUCAAGAUAACUAGCUCGGCAGCAAGUCUGUCGUGGCUCUUCUUCUCGGUGAUAUUCGACGCCGUCGUUCAGUUUUCCUCUUGCGGCGAACUUGCUUGUGGAAGUUGACUUCGGUGACUAUCAGUCGGAGAUCGUAUACAAGGCUCACGAUAUGUCUUACGUUAGUUAAUACUGGUUGUCCGACUUGAUUCUCAGUUAGCUCACUCGUCGCGGUUACUUGUAACACUUUAUAUCUCACACCCGAGGAGUUCUUUCCACAAUUACGUCUAUCUAUCGGCUAAGUCAGUAGAACGCCGUCCAGUAGCUCUACACGUGCCACUGCGUCAACGAAACGGCCGAUAUCUUCUAACACCGGUACGGGACUGACUCGCGGUGGCCCGCUCGCUCUUAAAUACCCCCCCGAUAUCGCGCAUGCGCGCUAGACGGCUCGAGCUCCACCCCCCUAAUUCAAAAUUCGCUUCUAACCAUCAAUCCCUCUUCUUAUCUUAUUUAUAAUUUAUUCCUAUUCCUAAUCACCACACACGUGUGCUGUUACUUUAGAUGUGUGAAGUGGUGACAUCACACAUGAGUUUUACUUUAUCUGUGUGAUGUAUGGGGCGUUUCAAGGUUAUAAUAGUUGUCGUGUGUUCUUUGUGUGUGAGUUAUGGCAAAAAAUUGAAUGCAUUGCAUGAAAUUAAUAAACUUAUUCGAGAUUCUUUUCCUUGUUGAUCGUCCAUUGAUAUUAUUUGCUGGAGUGUCCAGGUGGGGGCUAGAUGAUGGGGGUAAACUCCCCUUAAUUUAGGGCCUGGACCCGCAGUAAUGGGAGUAUGAUACAUUAAUUUUACCAUCACCUGUACUACUUUGUUUCCCUGUAAUCUAGUCAAGCCCUUACGAGAGUUCCACUCCCCCGUUAGUUUUCUCAGUGUUGCUUUCUGUCUCAGAUGUUUUCUUCGUCAUCAAUAAAAGAGUUGCAUUCA